GGUGGGUGGGAGGAGUCCCUCAGCCCAGAUUGUGAGAGGGUGCAGUCCAGGCCGAGGGACCCUGCCAGUGCAUG
rfam:Myotis brandtii contig324915, whole genome shotgun sequence.